rnacentral:tRNA from 1 species
UGUAGCUCACUUGGUAGAGCAUGAGACUCUUGAUCUCAGGGUUGCGAGUUUGAGCCCCAUGUUGGGGGGAAAG